GCUUGUCUGAGAUGUGUGGGAGGAGGCCUGUGCAAUGAGCAGAACCACAAAGCAUAGUUCUCUUGCAUAGACAUAACAAGAAGUUGCCAAUGGCGCCUGAAAUUCAUAAUAACUUAACUAUUAUAUAUUAAAAUCACAUAUGAAAUUUUAUUAUGUUAACAAAGUUCACUUACCUAGAUAUAUAAGGCAAAAAGUAUAUUUUCUUGCCGCUUGCAAAACUUCUUAUCAGAUUGUUGUUGAUCUGAUCAAAAUCAUUUGAUUCAUGAAUUGAUUGGGGAUCAAUGAAUCCAUAAUCAUCAGAACGCCCCAACUUGUUACUGAACCCAGACAUAUACCUGAAAUCAAAAAUUAACUUUGAUAUAAGGAUACUUGAUAUAUAAAUCAAUUCUAUAUAUAAAUAAUUGCUCACAGACUUACAUCAUCCAUAGCUGAAAAAUUGAAAU
rnacentral:lncRNA from 1 species